rnacentral:rRNA from 1 species
GACGAACGCUGGCGGCGUGCCUAAUACAUGCAAGUAGAACGCUGAAGGAGGAGCUUGCUUCUCUGGAUGAGUUGCGAACGGGUGAGUAACGCGUAGGUAACCUGCCUGGUAGCGGGGGAUAACUAUUGGAAACGAUAGCUAAUACCGCAUAAGAGUAGAUGUCGCAUGACAUUUGCUUAAAAGGUGCAAUUGCAUCACUACCAGAUGGACCUGCGUUGUAUUAGCUAGUUGGUGAGGUAACGGCUCACCAAGGCAACGAUACAUAGCCGACCUGAGAGGGUGAUCGGCCACACUGGGACUGAGACACGGCCCAGACUCCUACGGGAGGCAGCAGUAGGGAAUCUUCGGCAAUGGACGGAAGUCUGACCGAGCAACGCCGCGUGAGUGAAGAAGGGUUUCGGAUCGUAAAGCUCUGUUGUAAGAGAAGAACGAGUGUGAGAGUGGAAGGUUCACACUGUGACGGUAUCUUACCAGAAAGGGACGGCUAACUACGUG